rnacentral:rRNA from 1 species
UACGUAGGGUGCGAGCGUUGUCCGGAAUUAUUGGGCGUAAAGAGCUCGUAGGCGGCUUGUCACGUCGGGUGUGAAAGCCCGGGGCUUAACCCCGGGUCUGCAUUCGAUACGGGCAGGCUAGAGUGUGGUAGGGGAGAUCGAAUUCCUGGUGUAGCGGUGAAAUGCGCAGAUAUCAGGAGGAACACCGGUGGCGAAGGCGGAUCUCUGGGCCAUUACUGACGCUGAGGAGCGAAAGCGUGGGGAGCGAACAGG